GGAUUAGAUACCCUGGUAGUCCACGCUGUAAACGAUGAGUACUAGACUUGGUGGGUCUUGACCCCCGCCGAGUCGGAGCUAACGCAAUAAGUACUCCGCCUGGGAAGUACGGUCGCAAGACUAAAACUCAAAGGAAUUGACGGGGGCCCGCACAAGCGGUGGAUCAUGUGGUUUAAUUCGAAGCAACGCGAAAAACCUUACCUGGGUUUGACAUCCUCUGACCGAUAUAGAGAUAUAUUUUUUGUAGCAAUACAACAGAGAGACAGGUGCUGCAUGGCUGUCGUCAGCUCGUGCCG
rnacentral:rRNA from 1 species